GCAUUAGUAUUUGACAGAUCACGUGGGAUUUCAGACAUGGUGNUUCUCUUUGACACCAUGUCUGAAAUCCCACGUGAUCUGUCAAAUAC
rnacentral:pre_miRNA from 1 species